rnacentral:misc_RNA from 1 species
AACCUUAUGGACCUGCGGGCGUAUACCUGCGGAAGGAUCAUUACAGAGUUCAUGCCCUCACGGGUAGAUCUCCCACCCUUGAAUACUAUACCUUUGUUGCUUUGGCGGGCCGCUUUGGCUACUGGCUCUGGCUAGUAAGUGCCCGCCAAAGAACCCCAAAACUCUGAAUAUUAGUGUCGUCUGAGUACUAUAUAAUAGUUAAAACUUUUAGCAAUGGAUCU